rnacentral:rRNA from 1 species
AUUGAACGCUGGCGGCAGGCCUAACACAUGCAAGUCGAACGAGUGGCGGACGGGUGAGUAAUGUCUGGGCAACUGCCCGACGGAGGGGGAUAACUACUGGAAACGGUAGCUAAUACCGCAUACCAUCGGAUGUGCCCAGAUGGGAUUAGCUAGUAGGUGGGGUAACGGCUCACCUAGGCGACGAUCCCUAGCUGGUCUGAGAGGAUGACCAGCCACACUGGGACUGAGACACGGUCCAGACUCCUACGGGAGGCAGCAGUGGUGAAUAUUGCACAAUGGGCGCAAGCCUUAUGCAGCCAGGCCGCGUGUAUGAAGAAGGCCGUCGGGUUGUAAAGUACUUUCAGCGAGGAGGCGUUACUCGCAGAAGAAGCACCGGCUAACUCCGUGCCAGCAGCCGCGGUAAUAG